CCGCGCCAGCUGCGCGCGUUUCUGGCCCUGCCGGUGUCUUCGCCGGUUGAAAGCGCGUGUCUGCAUCGGGUUCCGUUGGAGUGCGUUCGGUGCGCCGCCGUGGGUCCGCGCUGCUUCCACCCAACUUCCUGUGAGAUGAUAAAUUAGAGGCUUUUAGUGUGCCUCGGCCACUUCGAAAUAGCAAGAGAGUGCACAAAGGUCAACUCUGUGAGCUCUAAGUCAAGAAGGAAAACGGGAAUCCACCAGAAUCAUGAGGGACAUCCUAGAUCCCAAGAAGGAGAAUGUGGGCAAACAGUCAACAUGACAGCAACCAGCUUAAAAAAGCCUGGAGUCAACAUGGGGAGAGGCUUGGAGAUGCUGUGAAGCAAAGACACUGGGAACAGCUGCAGACAUUUUCCCAGACCAGGAAAAAAACAGAGAGAGAAGAAGGAGAGCAAAGGGAGGAGGAGGAGGAGAAAAGAAGAAAGCAGAGAAGAAGGGACAGAGAAAAAAAGGAAGUUGGUUCUAACGUUUCUCUAACAACUGGCUUCAGUGAAACACUCCCACCUUGUGGAUUUUUAGGUUAUUGAAAUUAACCAGUCUUCUGGGUGCAGCACACCAACAUGGCACAUGUAUACCUAUGUAACAAACCUGCACUUUGUGCACAUGUACCCUAAAACUUAAAGUAUAAUAAAAAAAUAAAAUAAAAAGCUACACAAAUU